rnacentral:rRNA from 1 species
GAUGAACGCCGGCGGCGUGCCUAAUACAUGCAAGUCGAGCGAACGGACGAGAAGCUUGCUUCUCUGAUGUUAGCGGCGGACGGGUGAGUAACACGUGGAUAACCUACCUAUAGGACUGGGAUAACUUCGGGAAACCGGAGCUAAUACCGGAUAAUAUUUUGAACCGCAUGGUUCAAAAGUGAAAGACGGUCUUGCUGUCACUUAUAGAUGGAUCCGCGCUGCAUUAGCUAGUUGGUAAGGUAACGGCUUACCAAGGCAACGAUGCAUAGCCGACCUGAGAGGGUGAUCGGCCACACUGGAACUGAGACACGGUCCAGACUCCUACGGGAGGCAGCAGUAGGGAAUCUUCCGCAAUGGGCGAAAGCCUGACGGAGCAACGCCGCGUGAGUGAUGAAGGUCUUCGGAUCGUAAAACUCUGUUAUUAGGGAAGAACAUAUGUGUAAGUAACUGUGCACAUCUUGACGGUACCUAAUCAGAAAGCCACGGCUAACUACGUGCCAGCAGCCGCGGUAAUACGUAGGUGGCAAGCGUUAUCCGGAAUUAUUGGGCGUAAAGCGCGCGUAGGCGGUUUUUUAAGUCUGAUGUGAAAGCCCACGGCUCAACCGUGGAGGGUCAUUGGAAACUGGAAAACUUGAGUGCAGAAGAGGAAAGUGGAAUUCCAUGUGUAGCGGUGAAAUGCGCAGAGAUAUGGAGGAACACCAGUGGCGAAGGCGACUUUCUGGUCUGUAACUGACGCUGAUGUGCGAAAGCGUGGGGAUCAAACAGGAUUAGAUACCCUGGUAGUCCACGCCGUAAACGAUGAGUGCUAAGUGUUAGGGGGUUUCCGCCCCUUAGUGCUGCAGCUAACGCAUUAAGCACUCCGCCUGGGGAGUACGACCGCAAGGUUGAAACUCAAAGGAAUUGACGGGGACCCGCACAAGCGGUGGAGCAUGUGGUUUAAUUCGAAGCAACGCGAAGAACCUUACCAAAUCUUGACAUCCUUUGACAACUCUAGAGAUAGAGCCUUCCCCUUCGGGGGACAAAGUGACAGGUGGUGCAUGGUUGUCGUCAGCUCGUGUCGUGAGAUGUUGGGUUAAGUCCCGCAACGAGCGCAACCCUUAAGCUUAGUUGCCAUCAUUAGGUUGGGCACUCUAAGUUGACUGCCGGUGACAAACCGGAGGAAGGUGGGGAUGACGUCAAAUCAUCAUGCCCCUUAUGAUUUGGGCUACACACGUGCUACAAUGGACAGUACAAAGGGCAGCGAAACCGCGAGGUCAAGCAAAUCCCAUAAAGUUGUUCUCAGUUCGGAUUGUAGUCUGCAACUCGACUACAUGAAGCUGGAAUCGCUAGUAAUCGUAGAUCAGCAUGCUACGGUGAAUACGUUCCCGGGUCU